AUUGAACGCUGGCGGCAGGCCUAACACAUGCAAGUCGAACGAGUGGCGGACGGGUGAGUAAUGUCUGGGAAACUGCCCGACGGAGGGGGCUAACUACUGGAAACGGUAGCUAAUACCGCAUACCAUCGGAUGUGCCCAGAUGGGAUUAGCUAGUAGGUGGGGUAACGGCUCACCAAGGCGACGAUCCCUAGCUGGUCUGAGAGGAUGAACAGCCACACUGGAACUGAGACACGGUCCAGACUCCUACGGGAGGCAGCAGUGGGGAAUAUUGCACAAUGGGCGCAAGCCUGAUGCAGCCAGGCCGCGUGAAUGAAGAAGGCCUUCGGGUUGUAAAGUACUGUUAGCGAAGAGGCGUUACUCGCAGAGGAAGCACCGGCUAACUCCGUGCCAGCAGCCGCGGUAAUUC
rnacentral:rRNA from 1 species